GACGAACGCUGGCGGCGUGCUUAACACAUGCAAGUCGAACGGUGAAGCGCUUUCCUUUUUGGUUGGUGUGGAUGAGUGGCGAACGGGUGAGUAACACGUGAGUAACCUGCCCCCUUCUUCUGGAUAACCGCAUGAAAGUGUGGCUAAUACGGGAUAUUCUGCGCCUGCUGCAUGGUGGGUGUGGGAAAGAUUGUGCCUUUGGGUGUUUUCGGUGGGGGAUGGGCUCGCGGCCUAUCAGCUUGUUGGUGGGGUGAUGGCCUACCAAGGCGGUGACGGGUAGCCGGCCUGAGAGGGUGGACGGUCACACUGGGACUGAGACACGGCCCAGACUCCUACGGGAGGCAGCAGUGGGGAAUAUUGCACAAUGGGCGCAAGCCUGAUGCAGCGACGCCGCGUGAGGGAUGGAGGCCUUCGGGUUGUGAACCUCUUUCGCCAGUGAAGCAGGCCUGCUCAUUGUGGGUGGGUUGACGGUAGCUGGAUAAGAAGCGCCGGCUAACUACGUG
rnacentral:rRNA from 1 species